UUGAGCUUUAGCUUUAACUUUGUCUUUUUAUGUAUGGUUGAUGUGGUGGUAAUUAUAUAAUUCAAAACUUUUGUGCCUGGGCUAUGUAAAAGAAUAUUCUACAAACAAAAAACCAUUGCUUAGGGCUAAAGACUCACCCACAAUCAAAAAUAUUUUUCUAAAUCCGCCACUAAUAUCACAUAUUCGAGAUUUAACAAUAUGUCCAGUCUUCGAUGGAUGUAUUUUCCCUCCUAAAUUGCGGUUGAAUUUGUAAGCAGCCUACCUAAUCAGUAGGCUUUUCUUAGUACCUAGUGAUAAAAGCAUUUGUUAUCCCCUCUUAUGCAUCAUUUUGCAAGUUGAUUGGCCUGUGUGACUUUGCAAGGAUGGUGACCUCUUUCUACGAAGACGAAGACUUCAAGUUGAAGACGAAGACGAAGACUUCAAGUUGAAGACGAAGACGAAGACUACCAGUUUAGGGUGCAGACUUCCAACUGCAUUAUGAUUUUUAUUUCUUUUAUUUUGUUUUUUUAACGCAAAGAAUUCCAGUUUUUCUAUUAAAGACAAAGACUUUCCAAGUCUUUUAGUUUUCCAA